rnacentral:lncRNA from 1 species
GCUCUCUCGCUGAGUUCCUGGGACCAGACGAACUUUAGGUCUCCUGCUCCUCCGCCAUCUUGGAAACUUUUCUAGCUUCCCCUUCCUAACAACAAAACCAAACAAAACAGACGCAUCUUAGAGCCAUCCUUGUCACUCUGUAACCCAUUAGUAAUUCCUGUAGGCUUUCUUGUAACUCUUACCACCCGUCCACCACUUCUGUUCAUCCUCACCACUAAUGCUCUUUCACAUGCCAGCAUCUUGAGCCCGGACUAAUGCAAUAGAUUUCCAGUUAGUCUCGCUGCUUCCAUACUUGCUCCCCUUCUAGUGCGGGCCUUUAUGAGAAGCAGGUCAGAUCUUGUGCCUUAUCUGCCUGGUGGUCCCUCUGUACUUCAUCACAGCCGGUCCCCUCGCUGGUUUCCACAGGCAAUGGCUGUGCACAGCAGCCGGACUUCCCCUGGCUGGAACCAGACCUUUGGUGCCUGUGAGUUUCUUUGGCCAGUGGAUUAAGCGUCAGUGGCUUAUAGUGGUCAUUUUCUUUCUGGUCUCUGUCUCAUUUUCCCACUCAUAUAUUGGCUCUGCCUCAAUUCACCUCCCCAAUAAACUAUUUGCCCUAGCAUCCUUGACUCAGGGCCUGCUGCUGGGGAUUGCCCAACUAAGAGAGUAGUGAACUCUUAUUAAUCUUUUCUCAGUGCCUUAGGUCCUUAACUGCCAUUAGUGUGUGAGGAGUAAGAGAACGUAAAAAUCGAAGGACUGCACAGAAUCGAGAGUUUGAGUGAAUGGCUUUUCAUGGUACCUCAAGAUCAACCUAUUUUCUCGUUCUCAUGGAAACUCACUGAAAGGUGGAAGAUUUUUUGUCCAGAUCACUCAGAUGGCCAAAUACAAAGCAUCCUAUGCCCACAGGAGGACAGUGUGGAUGACAGUGAGGAGCACAAUGCUUUGUGUUUUUGUUUCCUGAUGAUAGUCUGUUUGGUUUUUGAAUUUUUCCUCCUUUAUUUGCUACCCAAAUAGAGCAUUUUGAUGGCAUUUUAUUUCUUAAGACUUCUUGUCUCUGGUAAGUCCUAAAUUUGGGAAAAAAGUGUAUCCUAUGGUGAUCAUCCUUGAAAUUA